GACGUAGGGGGCGAGCGUUCUCCGGAAUUAUUGGGCGUAAAGCGCACGCAGGCGGUCUGUUAAGUUCAGGGUGACAGUCACCAGCUUAACUGGUGAAGUACUUUGAAAACUGGCAGACUUGAGAGCGAGAGAGGGACCUGGAACUCCGGGUGGAGCAGUGAAAUGCGUAGAGAUCCGGAAGAACACCAAAGGCGAAGGCAGGGUUCUGGCUCGUUUCUGACGCUAAGGUGCGAAAGCCAGGGGAG
rnacentral:rRNA from 1 species